CGCGGGCCGGGAGCUGCGCGCCGCCGAGCCCAGCAAUGGGGUACCAGUGCCGAGACCAAAAGCUAUUUUUGCCCACCCUGUGGGGCAGGUGGUUCCUGCCCAGGAAGAUUCCUGCAGCAACUCUGUACCUCCAGGCUGCUUCAGCUGCAGCUCUUGAGCCUCAUCCUUGCACCCUCCCUAAGUGCUGCAAGAGGAGUGAGGAUUUACCAGUGAAUUCCCCAUGGAGCAGAAGAUAGAGCUGUGUGUCCUUGCUGAAGAAAAUGAAGAUAUUUACCCAGGACCAACAAGGGAUCAAGGCAAGAUGAGAGUAGCUUCAACAUCAGCAUCCUCACCUGCCUCUCUUGGCUUCACCCCUCACCCAGGGUGUUCCUGUGUACAGUUUUGCAUGCCCUAGAUAUUCAAGCAGAUUAAAACUCUCCAGGAAAUCUCUGAAGGUGCUGCUGAUUUCAACUGAAAAACAGAUAUUUUCAAUUUUGACAAAAUAUUUUCAUUUUACUAGAAAUAGCUAAUUUCAUUUACUAGGAAUUAGGCUAUCAUUUCUGUAAAAUAUGCUCCCCAAAGUAGUAAAGAAAAUGGAAUAUUAUGAUUCACAUUGUGGUAAAAUGGGUAUUUGUUUUAGAAUUUUUAUAUUAAAAUUUUGAUUUCUUCAA